UACAGAGGGCGCGAGCGUUGUCCGGAAUCACUGGGCGUAAAGGGCGCGUAGGUGGCCACUAUAAGGCUGCGGUGAAAGUUCGGGGCUCAACCCCGAAUCUGCCGCGGCGACUGUAGGGCUUGGGCACCGUAGAGGCAGAUGGAAUUCCGGGUGUAGCGGUGGAAUGCGUAGAGAUGCGGAGGAACACCGAUGGCGAAGGCAGCCCCCUGGGCCAACACUGACGCUCAGGCACGAAAGCGUGGGGAUCAAACAGG
rnacentral:rRNA from 1 species